rnacentral:lncRNA from 9 species
UUUUUUGGUAAUCAAAUUUAAACUGGCCUGAAGAAUAAGGCUGAUUUAAAUUAUUUUUAUUGUUUUAUUAGAACUUUUGUUUUACUGCAAAGGAGAUGGCAAUGAGUUACAUUGUGAGAAAUAAUGAAGUUUAAACUCUGAUUGCUACUGAGAUCUAUGGCUCAGAACUCUCUGACUGGAACCCACCUUCAGUUACUUCUCCCACAUUCCUUUCGCUGGAACGGGGCACAAAGAAAAGAAACAUGCUCUUCCCAAAGAAGCAGGUGGAGAGGGAUCUGGCUGAACAGUGAGUCCAUUCAAGGUACAAACAGUGGGCCAACCUCCUUACUUUACAAAGAGAGGACAAUGGAGGUGCCAACGCGAGCAUGUAUGUGAGUGUUAUGUGUGUGUGGCAUGUCCCAGGGCACACAACAGGUUAAUUUCAAAACUUGAAUAAUAACAAUGUGCUCCAUGUUUUGAAAUGGGCAAGUAUACUCUAUUUUAAUAUAGUGCUCUCUGUGUUAUACUGACAUAUUUUUACCAAGUGAUAUAAUGAACUACUGCUUCUUGAAUGCUCAUUAGAGACAGCAAGAAGGGCAAGUUUUGAGUUUUGAUAAGUUGAUGGCCCCUUGCUCCACACCUGGUAGAUACUUAUACACAAACACACACACACACAUCCAUACAUACAUGGUUGGGGCGGAGGAUAGGGAGGAAUGGAGAGGGAGAGAAUACUAACAUGGUCAUGUAAUUUUUUAUCAAAUCCAAAGCUAAGCAGCCCUAACUAAAUUUAAAGCUACAGCUCUUUGUUUUCCCCCUAGGAGUUUAGGAAUUUCAAGGACAAAACAGAAGCUGCAAGGUAAUCCCCUUACCAAGUUUGUCAUUUUGUUAACAGGUAUGUUAAGUGUGGUUUGAUAAUCAGGGCAACAAAACUAGCAGAGCCCAAAAUUUGUAUUCUUCUUCUUUCAUAGGGAUAGAAAACAAAAAUUAGUAUUUUAAAAGAUUUACUGGAGUUUUUUUUUAAUCUUGGGAAAGCGGGAUGUGCUGACAAGGUAAGUUAAUCAGAAGCUGUAGGAAGGAAGAACAUUUUCUUUCUUGACAUAAACCCUGUGGAUAUCAAAAAAGGGAAGUGCUAUAACAAAAAAAAAAAAUACUAUUACAGCUGUGACUGGUGAUAUGUACGGAACAGCCUGCAAAUCUCCCCCAGAAUCACUCCGGAAUUCACCCACCACACAUUCCAGGCUGCAGAUGGUCUCUUUGCUUUUCUGAUGGCAGAUCUCUCUAAACCGUUGGAAUUACCCAACACUUAACUUUCUGAACAAGCUUUAACAUUUUUUUCCACAGACUUCUUCUUUAAUGCACUGAAUGUAGAAAGAGCACAUAGUUUAUAUAGGAUUUUGCAACCCACUUUGAUGGAUCAAUGUUGUGUUGGUUUGUUAGAGGAGGC